rnacentral:rRNA from 1 species
GUGCACCUGUCCAUACUACAUUAUUAAACGACUCUCGGCAACGGAUAUCUCGGCUCUCGCAUCGAUGAAGAACGUAGCGAAAUGCGAUACUUGGUGUGAAUUGCAGAAUCCCGUGAACCAUCGAGUCUUUGAACGCAAGUUGCGCCCGAAGCUUCGGGC